UGUUUAAUGAAUGCAUCCAAGUGAUAGCUAGCGCAAUUAGUAUUGUCUGAUAUAUUUUCUGUUAGCUGUGAGCGAUGUUGAAUUCAGCGGAAAUGGCAACAAACCAACGUAGCGCCACUUUCGUCGCGCUUUCAAUUUUGUACUUUGAUUUACUGUACUACUGGGUGCAGGUUCUUUAGUUUUGCUGUUUACCGUCAUUAGUUUAUCAUUGUCAAAGUAGACAACGUUUAUACAUAUGUUUGGGGUGGUUCUAGGGCCGUCCAGCUGAGUGUGAGCCAGCUGAGCCGCGGACCUACGAGUGCGGACUGAGAUUGAGCCAGCCGCUGCCACUGUUUUGUUCCACCGUCGUGCCCAAACAUAUCUGCAGCGAUCGCGGGCCUGGACUGGACGUCGGACUACUGGGCUGCUGUCUCCGACUGGCGAGGCGGCGUCUCGGACAUGGAUCGUCUUCUUCGCCGAGCUGGAGCCGGCGACUCAUCGCUGGACUACGGCGUGCCGUCCUGGUGUGCACGACGGCACACACGGACCUACGAGGAUGGUGUACUUCGUGCGCGCUGCUGCCCGAGCGGUCGUGUCGGCUGGCGGCGCGCAGCAUCUUCGGCUCGGCUACUACCGUGCGAUGUGACUGUGCGUGGUGCGCGGAGAAAUGACCAUGCCGCCCGGGGGCGGCGCCUUCGGCCUCAGACUGCCUCGUGCGGUGGUGAUGCGUUACCGUGACCGGCAUCGGUGAACGGCGUUAGUGCGUGACUUCGGACUGCGCGCACAGUGCGUUUUGUGCUUACCUGGCGGCCAUGCAGUCGCGUGUGCAAGAGCGGACAAUUGCUGUUUGCAAUGCUGUGAGAAGAAUUUGUCUUUCGUUACCUUGCUGUGAGAGCAUUUGGUAUUGCAUAUUCGGUCGCUCAAUGUGUGAGUUUUCGGUUCGUCCGAAAACUAGGGGGGAGGAUGUUGCGACCGGUCACCGUUUGUGAGAAAUCUGGCGGCUCUUUACGUUCGGGAGCCGGCCCGUCAUUUAGUGGCCGCGUUUGCUCGCGUGUCUUUGACGAGUUUGGCGCACGAGACGCAUCCAAAUUGUCGACCACGCAGGCUCAUUCUUGAAUGAACCACUGGUGUCGAGGGCUGUCGGCCGUCCAGCUGAGUGUGAGCCAGCUGAGCCGCGGACCUACGAGUGCGGACUGAGAUUGAGCCAGCCGCUGCCACUGUUUUGUUCCACCGUCGUGCCCAAACAUAUCUGCUGAUGGGAGAACAGUUCAUAAUGGUGAUCCGCCCCAGCCUGGUGGCGGCGGACCAGUGGAGCGACGGCGCCGAGGCCGCCUGGCGCAGGCUGUUCCAGGUGAUCAGCCACAGCAUGAAGGUCGGCCUGCAGAACAGCCGGGCGGUCGGCCGGCAGAGCUCCUCCCGCCGGCGGGCGGCCCCUCUGAACGCCGCGGGGGUCACCCAGCCGGCCCUCUGAGUGCCGCGGGGGUCACCCAGCCGGCCCUCUGAGUGCCGCGGGGGCCACCCGGACCCCUCUCUGAGUGCCGCGGGGGUCACCCGGACCCCUCUCUGAGUGCCGGGGGGGGGUUACCCGGACGGCCCUCUGAGUGCCGGGGGGGGGGGGGUUACCCGGACGGCCGGCAGCGGCAUCUCGCGCACCACCUGAGGGACACCAACCGCCGCCCCUGAGGGUCCGCCGACUGAGGGUCCGCCAGCUGAGGGUCCGCCACCUCCGUCCGCCGACUGAGCCAGCUGAGGGACAGCCACCUCCGUCCGCCGACUGAGGGUCCGCCAGCUGAGGGACAGCCACCUCCGUCCGCCGACUGAGGGUCCGCCGACUGAGGGACAGCCACCUCCGUCCGCCAGCUGAGGGACAGCCACCUCCGUCCGCCAGCUGAGGGACAGCCACCUCCGUCCGCCAGCUGAGGGUCCGCCAGCUGAGGGACAGUCACCUCCGUCCGCCAGCUGAGGG